CGGAAACUUACUUUAAAAACAAUUACGGUUACGUGAUGUUUUGAAUAACAGUAGUUGCUUUGGAAAAUCGUGUUCUAAUACUAGCAAUUAUAAGAACAAUAAAUAAAAUUCCAAAUUUGAAAUCCAGAAAAUUACAACGGCUUUACUACAACCCACAUAAAAUGAUUUAAAGGUAAUAAUCAAAAUUGUAACAUAAACAGUGUGUGUGUGGCUUCCUCCGAGCCCCUAGCAACCCCGAUCCAUCUAAGGCUGGAAAUUACCUGAAAGGUUAAUAAACGGGGUGAGUUUAUGAAAACUCAGUGUGAAAUCCCCUACUAUAAAAAGGAACAGUCAGUCAUCUAAAGGAAUUAAAAGUCUGGCCCCAGCCUUACUUAAAUUUCAGUACCAAUCGGGUCUUAGCCCAUUACAACAGACAGUACCAGAUGGACCUUAGCCCAUUACAGAAUAAGAAACAUUAUCAGAAUUGGAACCAAAAUGAGAAUCAGAAUCAGAAUCAGAAUCAAUAUUAGUAACAGAAUCAGAAUCAGAAUCAGAAUCAGAAUUAGGUGACAGAAUCAGAAUCAGUAACAGAAUCAGAAUCAGAAUCAGUAUUAGUAACAGAAUUAGAAUUACGUGACAGAAUCAGAAUCAGAAUGUGAAUGCAAUCCCAACCCAAUCCAGCCGUAUACACCCCCGUACCAACCUUACACCAUGUGGGGAGACAACUCGACCCACCCAUUUGCUACACACCACAGAAUUUGCAGCAUGGCUGCCAGAACAGAUAUCGUGACAGAGUCACCAGAUACAUAUAUUAUGGCAGAGCCACCAGAAUUAGAUAAUGUGGCAAACCCACCUAACAGAAUACGUGGCACAAAGCCAUAGAUAACUGUAAUAACUUGGGCACAUAGCCAUCAGUGACGGUAAUAUAACUGGCGCACAGCCUUCGGUAAAUAUGAUCGACACAGAGUCGUCAACAAAUAUGUUAGGCACAUAGCUACAGGUAAAUACGUUUGGCACGAAGCCAUAUUCAAGAUGGCACAAAGCCAUAUUUAGGUUGGCACAGAGCCAUUAAUAACGGGUCUAUAAUCGGCACGAAGCCCACAACAACGGCACACAGCCUUCGGUAGCGUGAUCGGCACUUAGCCAUCGAUCGGUCAACAGAUAUUGUGACAGAGUCACCAAAUACAGAUAUUGUGGCAGAGCCACCAGAACAGAUAUUUGUGGCAUAGCCACCAGAACGCUUCCUCCGUACAAAAUCCCAACCCAUGCAACAUGUCAUGUAUGCAGAAUGUCAUGCCCAUAUUUGAAUCAAACAAUCACAGUCAAGUCAUUCAUAUCACCAACAUAUAUUCACAAUCAAAUCCGUCAAACACACAGUCUAAGUCAGUCACUUGCCCACAAGGGCAAAACAAUCAUUUAACACCCUAGGGGCAAAAUGGUAAUUUUACCCCACAAGGGUAUCUCGGUAAUUCUACCCUACAGGGGUAUUUCGGUAUUUCUACCCUACAAGGGUAUUUCGAUAAUUCUAACCAACAGGGGUAUUUUGGUAAUUCUAUCCUAUAAGGGUAUUUCAGUAAUUCUACCCUACAGGGGUAUUUCCGUAAUUUCACAAUCAAGGGUAAAAUGGUAAUUCUGUAAAUCGAGGGUAAAAGGAUAAUUUUGUAAACUGAGGGUAACCUAGUAAUUCUGUAAAUCAAGGGUAAAACGGUAAUUUUACAAAUCGAGGGUAAAACGGUAAUUCUAUAAAUCGAGGGUAAAAUAAUAAUUCUGUAAACUGAGGGUAAAACGGUAAUUUUAUAAAUCGAGGAUAAAAUUGUAAUUUUACAAAUCGAGGGUAAAAUGGUAAUUCUAUAAAUCGAGGGUAAAAUAGUAAUUCUGUAAACUGAGGGUAAAACGGUAAUUCUGUAAAUCGAAGGUAAAACGGUAAUUUUGUAAACUGAGGGUAAAAUAGUAAUUCUAUAAAUCGAGGGUAAAACGGUAAUUCUGUAAACUGAGGGUAAAAUGGUAAUUCUGUAAAUCAAGGGUAAAACGGUAAUUUUAAAAAUCAAGGGUAAAACGAUAAUUCUGUAAAUCGAGGGUAAAACGGUAAUUUUAAAAAUCGAGGGUAAAAUGGUAAUUUUGUAAAUCGAGGGUAAAACGGUAAUUCUGUAAAUCGGGAGUACUUUGGUAAUUUUACAAGUCGAGGGCAUUUUAGUAAUUGGUAAACUAAAGUAUUCUAAACAUGGAUAACAAUACAAAUGGGCCUAAAGCCUAUUCUGGGCCCAAAUGGGCCCACACGCUCGUGUGGCCCUUUUAGCCCAAACCUAGCCACAGAUAUGAGAUUCACCUAGCCUAGUCCAAUAUUUACUACACAAUCAAACAACUUAUCCAAUUGGGCCCGUAGGCCCAUUGGGCCCACAUGGCCCCUUUCGGCCUAUCGCGGCCCGAAGUAGCCAUCCAACAACAAGAGUGGUGAUAAAUACACACCUGAUUGGAGACUGGAGUUAAUCCACGCUCCGAGCACUCUUAGCCGACGCCCAACCCAAACGAGCACGCCAUAAAGCGAAAGGGAUCA
rnacentral:lncRNA from 1 species